rnacentral:rRNA from 1 species
UACGUAGGGCGCAAGCGUUGUCCGGAAUUAUUGGGCGUAAAGAGCUCGUAGGUGGCUUGUUGCGUCUGCCGUGAAAGCCCGUGGCUUAACUACGGGUCUGUGGUGGAUACGGGCAGGCUAGAGGCUGGUAGGGGCAAGCGGAAUUCCUGGUGUAGCGGUGAAAUGCGCAGAUAUCAGGAGGAACACCGGUGGCGAAGGCGGCUUGCUGGGCCAGUUCUGACGCUGAGGAGCGAAAGCGUGGGGAGCGAACAGG